UAGCAGCCGUGAAUAAGUACUCUUAGACUAGUAUUUUGGUACUGUUUUAGAUUUAUACUGAAUUUGAAGAUUUUUAAGAGGUUGAUCAUGUGAAAUAAGGACUUCCUGCCAUAUUCUAUAUACGUGGUACAUAUGUAGAUAUAUUUAUGAUUUCUGUGAUUUUCUGACUGCUGUAAUCAUUGCUCAAUAUUGUUCUUACCGUACUGUACAUGGUAUAAAGUGCUAUUUUUUGGCAGUCGUUGGAGAAUUGCUGAUCGAAUGGGAAAAUAGUUAUCCUGAUUAUGUGUAAGAGAACUACACAAUUGUAUUUAUGUGCACAUGUGUAUUGCAUUCAGAUGUUUGUAUCUUUUAUAUAUGCAUGUGAAUAUACAUGUACAUGUAGGUACAUGUACUUGAAUGAUUCAUGUGAAUUUUUAAAAAUAAUAAUCCCAGUUGCAAUAUGUAAAACUCAUUUUGAUCAAUGACAUCAGUAUUAUCUUAAUAAGGCACCUUACUUUUGUUUGUAAGUGAUAGAAAAUUUCUGCCUUCUGGAAAAUAUAUUCAUAUUAAAUACUUUAAGCUGAUAUCUAUUUGCUCUGUGUAAGCUGCAAAACCUCAGAGGUAGACCAGUUGUAUUAAAGAUUUGUUAUAAGUAUACAUAUAUAUACACAUGAUAUUUGUAAUCUGUUGUUAAUUUGUUUACUGUUGAUUUAUGAAUCAGUAUUAAUAUCUACUGUCAAUCUGUGAUGCUAUUUUAAAUUAUAACUGUGAUGCUAGAAACAUUCCAUCCAAUGUGAAGAAAAUUCAGAUUUUUAUUCUAAUUGAUUGGCAUGUUUAGAUUUAUAUUAUCUUUUAUGGUGGCAAUAUACAAUAUACUUGUAUUUGGAUUUGUUUUUUAACAGUUGUGAAAAAAAUAAUCAUUUUACUCUGCUUAAUUUUAAGAGGUAUUACAGCAAUAAUUUUUUAUAAGGCAUUGACUUUUCUUGAAAUUGUAGAAAAUGUUUCAAAAAUAUUUUAUAAAUCUUUGAAUGUAGGCACUGUUUAAGCAAUUUGUAAUCAAUCAAUUGAUUAUUAAUAAAAAUUAUAGCAACUGUU
rnacentral:sRNA from 1 species